AUGGCCCCCCUUAUGAUGCUUGUCACUUGGAGAAUUUGGAAUGAGAAAAAUGCUAGAGUUUUUCGUCAUAAAAGUGCUCCACCGCCAAUCAUGCUAAACAUCAUCAAGGUGGAGGCGAGGCUUUGGGUCGCUGCGGGUUCCAAAAAACUAUUGGUUGUUUUAUCAAGAGAGUAA
rnacentral:rRNA from 1 species